rnacentral:rRNA from 1 species
AUCCAGCUCAAUCGUCGGCUUUUCCGGAGGAAUGGUGUCGGUUAUGAUACUAUCCGUCGUUUCGUUUUUAUUACCUGCUUUAUCUACAGCAACGACUUUUAUACUAUUUUCGCCCUCAGAUAAUUCACGUAACCCGCAGAAGAAGCACCGGCUAACUCCGUGCCAGCAGCCGCGGUAAUACGGAGGGUGCAAGCGUUAAUCGGAAUUACUGGGCGUAAAGCGCACGCAGGCGGUCUGUCAAGUCGGAUGUGAAAUCCC